rnacentral:rRNA from 1 species
AGUGAACGCUGGCGGUAGGCCUAACACAUGCAAGUCGAACGGCAGCACAGUAAGAGCUUGCUCUUACGGGAGGCGAGUGGCGGACGGGGGGGGAAUACAUCGGAACCUACUUUUUCGUGGGGGAUAACGUAGGGAAACUUACGCUAAUACCGCAUACGACCUACGGGUGAAAGCAGGGGAUCUUCGGACCUUGCGCGAUUGAAUGAGCCGAUGUCGGAUUAGCUAGUUGGCGGGGUAAAGGCCCACCAAGGCGACGAUCCGUAGCUGGUCUGAGAGGAUGAUCAGCCACACUGGAACUGAGACACGGUCCAGACUCCUACGGGAGGCAGCAGUGGGGAAUAUUGGACAAUAGGCGCAAGCCUGACCCAGCCAUACCGCGUGGGUGACGAAGGCCUUCGGGUUGUAAAGCCCUUUUGUUGGGAAAGAAAAGCAGCAGGUUAAUACCACGCUGUUCUGACGGUACCCAAAGAAUAAGCACCGGCUAACUUCGUG